rnacentral:rRNA from 1 species
UACGGAGGGGGUUAGCGUUGUUCGGAAUUACUGGGCGUAAAGCGCGCGUAGGCGGGCUGUUAAGUCGGGGGUGGAAUCCCGGGGCUCAACCCCGGAACUGCCUUCGAUACUGGCAGCCUUGAGGUCGAGAGAGGUGAGUGGAACUCCGAGUGUAGAGGUGAAAUUCGUAGAUAUUCGGAAGAACACCAGUGGCGAAGGCGGCUCACUGGCUCGAUAUUGACCAUGAGGUGCGAAAGUGUGGGGAGCAAACAGG